rnacentral:rRNA from 1 species
GACGAACGCUGGCGGCGUGCUUAACACAUGCAAGUCGAACGGAAAGGCCCUGCUUUUGUGGGGUGCUCGAGUGGCGAACGGGUGAGUAACACGCGAGUAACCUGCCCUUGACUUUGGGAUAACUUCAGGAAACUGGGGCUAAUACCGGAUAGGAGCUCCUGCUGCAUGGUGGGGGUUGGAAAGUUUCGGCGGUUGGGGAUGGACUCGCGGGUUAUCAGCUUGUUGGUGGGGUAGUGGCUUACCAAGGCUUUGACGGGUAGCCGGCCUGAGAGGGUGACCGGCCACAUUGGGACUGAGAUACGGCCCAGACUCCUACGGGAGGCAGCAGUGGGGAAUAUUGCACAAUGGGCGGAAGCCUGAUGCAGCAACGCCGCGUGCGGGAUGACGGCCUUCGGGUUGUAAACCGCUUUCGCCUGUGACGAAGCGUGAGUGACGGUAAUGGGUAAAGAAGCACCGGCUAACUACGUG